rnacentral:rRNA from 1 species
UCGAGAAUUUUUCUCAAUGGGCGAAAGCCUGAAGGAGCGACGCCGCGUGGGGGAUGAAUGGCUUCGGCCCGUAAACCCCUGUCAUUUGCGAACAAACCUUUUCCGUGAACAACGGAGAAGCUGAUUGUAGCGAAAGAGGAAGGGACGGCUAACUCUGUGCCAGCAGCCGCGGUAAUACAGAGGUCCCAAGCGUUGUUCGGAUUCACUGGGCGUAAAGGGUGCGUAGGUGGCCAGGUAAGUUUGGUGUGAAAUCUCCGGGCUCAACCCGGAAAUGGCAUUGAAUACUAUCUGGCUCGAGGUUUGUAGGGGGGACUGGAAUUCUCGGUGUAGCAGUGAAAUGCGUAGAUAUCGAGAGGAACACCAGUGGCGAAGGCGAGUCCUUGGACAACACCUGACACUGAGGCACGAAAGCCAGGGGAGCAAACGGGAUUAGAUACCCCCGUAGUCC